rnacentral:rRNA from 1 species
UACCAGCACCCCGAGUGGUCGGGACGUUUAUUGGGCCUAAAGCAUCCGUAGCCGGUUCUACAAGUCUUCCGUUAAAUCCAGCUGCUCAACAGAUGGGCUGCGGGGGAUACUACAUGGCUAGGAGGCGGGAGAGGCAAGCGGUACUUUAUGGGUAGGGGUAAAAUCCGUUGAUCCAUAGAAGACCACCAGUGGCGAAGGCGGCUUGCCAGAACGCGCUC